AGUCAUAUGCUUGUCUCAAAGAUUAAGCCAUGCAUGUCUCAGUACAAGCCGAAUUAAGGUGAAACCGCGAAAGGCUCAUUAAAUCAGUUAUGGUUCCUUAGAUCGUACCCACAUUUACUUGGAUAACUGUGGUAAUUCUAGAGCUAAUACAUGCAAACAGAGCUCCGACCGGAGACGGGAGGAGUGCUUUUAUUAGAUCAAAACCAAUCGGCGGCGGGCGCGUCCGCGCGCUCGUUCGCCGCUCAACCUGGUGACUCUGAAUAACUUUCCGCUGAUCGCACGGUCUCGCACCGGCGACGCAUCUUUCAAAUGUCUGCCUUAUCAACUGUCGAUGGUAGGUUCUGCGCCUACCAUGGUCGUAACGGGUAACGGGGAAUCAGGGUUCGAUUCCGGAGAGGGAGCCUGAGAAACGGCUACCACAUCCAAGGAAGGCAGCAGGCGCGCAAAUUACCCACUCCCGGCACGGGGAGGUAGUGACGAAAAAUAACGAUACGGGACUCAUCCGAGGCCCCGUAAUCGGAAUGAGUACACUUUAAAUCCUUUAACGAGGAUCAAUUGGAGGGCAAGU
rnacentral:rRNA from 1 species